CGUGCCGCCUGCUGAAGCCGGCGCUGCUGUGCGGGGCCCUGGCCGCGCCCGGCCUGGCCGGCACCAUGUGCGCAUCCCGCGAGGUCUGGCGCUGUACACGCUCCAUGCACGAGUUCUCAGCCAAGGACAUCGAUGGGAACACGGUUUGCCUGGAUAAGUACCAGGGCUUGGUGUGCAUCGUCACCAACGUGGCCUCGCAAUGAGGCAAAACCGACGUAAACUAUACUCAGCUUGUCGACCUGCACGCCCCAUAUGCUGAGUGCGGUUUACGGAUCCUGGCCUUCCCCUGCAGCCCGUUCGGGAAACAGGAACCAGGAAGUAAUGCAGAGAUCAAAGAGUUUGCCGCUGGCUAUAACGUCAAAUUCGAUAUGUACAGCAACAUCUGUGUGAAUGGGGAUGACGCCCACCCGCUAUGGAAGUGGAUGAAAGUCCAGCCCAAGGGCAGGGGCAUCCGGGAAAUGCCAUCAAAUGGAACUUCCCUAAGUUCCUCAUUGACAAGAACGGCUGUGUGGUGAAGCGGUAUGGUCCCAUGGAGGAGCCCCUGGUGAUAGAGAAGGACCUGCCCUGCUAUCUCUAGCUCCACAAGCGUGUGCCCUCGCCAAGCCCCUGCCUGCAUUCCAGAACCUUCCAACCGGCACCCAUGACAGUCUGCCUAUAAACCUGCCACUGGUGAGGCAGACCCGAGAACCUGGCGUGCACCCUGCCAGAGGAAGGUCCCGCAGCCCCGUUGGGCUUGGGCUUGCCCCCUACCCUCGGCUGCCUUGUGGGAAUAAAACAAAGAAAUAAAA